rnacentral:rRNA from 1 species
GUGAGGAAUUUUCCGCAAUGGGCGAAAGCCUGACGGAGCAAUGCCGCGUGAAGGAUGAAGGCCUAUGGGUUGUAAACUUCUUUUCUCAGAAAAGAAUUAUGACGGUAUCUGAGGAAUAAGCAUCGGCUAACUCUGUGCCAGCAGCCGCGGUAAGACAGAGGAUGCAAGCGUUAUCCGGAAUGAUUGGGCGUAAAGCGUCUAUAGGUUGUUUAAAAAGUAUUCUGUCAAAGAUUAGGGCUUAACCCUAGAUAGGCAGAAUAAACUUUUAAGCUAGAGUUUGGUAGAGGCAGAGGGAAUUCCCGGUGGAGUGGUGAAAUGCGUAGAUAUCGGGAGGAACACCAAAGGCGAAGGCACUCUGCUGGGCCAAUACUAACACUGAGAGACGAAAGCGAGGGGAGCAAAUGGGAUUAGAAACCCGAGUAGUCC